rnacentral:rRNA from 1 species
AAAUUGAAGAGUUUGAUCAUGGCUCAGAUUGAACGCUGGCGGCAGGCCUAACACAUGCAAGUCGAGCGGAAACGACACUAACAAUCCUUCGGGUGCGUUAAUGGGCGUCGAGCGGCGGACGGGUGAGUAAUGCCUGGGAAAUUGCCUUGAUGUGGGGGAUAACCAUUGGAAACGAUGGCUAAUACCGCAUGAUGCCUACGGGCCAAAGAGGGGGACCUUCGGGCCUCUCGCGUCAAGAUAUGCCUAGGUGGGAUUAGCUAGUUGGUGAGGUAAUGGCUCACCAAGGCGACGAUCCCUAGCUGGUCUGAGAGGAUGAUCAGCCACACUGGAACUGAGACACGGUCCAGACUCCUACGGGAGGCAGCAGUGGGGAAUAUUGCACAAUGGGCGCAAGCCUGAUGCAGCCAUGCCGCGUGUAUGAAGAAGGCCUUCGGGUUGUAAAGUACUUUCAGCGGGGAGGAAGGGAGUAAAGUUAAUACCUUUGCUCAUUGACGUUACCCGCAGAAGAAGCACCGGCUAACUCCGUGCCAGCAGCCGCGGUAAUACGGAGGGUGCGAGCGUUAAUCGGAAUUACUGGGCGUAAAGCGCAUGCAGGUGGUUCAUUAAGUCAGAUGUGAAAGCCCGGGACUCAACCUCGGAACUGCAUUUGAAACUGGUGAACUAGAGUACUGUAGAGGGGGGUAGAAUUUCAGGUGUAGCGGUGAAAUGCGUAGAGAUC